rnacentral:rRNA from 1 species
AUUGAACGCUGGCGGCAGGCCUAACACAUGCAAGUCGAGCGGUAGCACAGAGAGCCUGCUCUCGGGUGACGAGCGGCGGACGGGUGAGUAAUGUCUGGGAAACUGCCUGAUGGAGGGGGAUAACUACUGGAAACGGUAGCUAAUACCGCAUAAUGUCGCAAGACCAAAGUGGGGGACCUUCGGGCCUCAUGCCAUCAGAUGUGCCCAGAUGGGAUUAGCUAGUAGGCGGGGUAACGGCUCACCUAGGCGACGAUCCCUAGCUGGUCUGAGAGGAUGACCAGCCACACUGGAACUGAGACACGGUCCAGACUCCUACGGGAGGCAGCAGUGGGGAAUAUUGCACAAUGGGCGCAAGCCUGAUGCAGCCAUGCCGCGUGUGUGAAG